rnacentral:rRNA from 1 species
CCUACGGGAGGCAGCAGUGGGGAAUAUUGCACAAUGGGCGACACCCUGAUGCAGCGACGCCGCGUGAGUGAAGAAGUAUCUCGGUACGUAAAGCUCUAUCCGCAGGGACGAAAAUGACGGUCCCUGACUAAGAAGCCCCGGCUAACUACGUGCCAGCAGCCGCGGUGAUACGUCGGGGGCAAGAGUUAUCCGGCUUUACUGGUUGUAAAGGGAGCGUAGACGGCAGCACAAGUCUGGAGUGAUAUCCCGGGGCUUAACCCCGGAACUGCUUUGGAAACUGUGCGGCUGGAGUGCAGGAGGGGUAAGCGGAAGUCCUAGUGUAGCGGUGAAAUGCUUAGAUAUCACGAAGAACUCCGAGUGCGAAGGCAGCUUACUAAACUGCCACUGACAUUGAUGCGCGAAAGUGUGGGUAGCAAACAGGAUUAGAUACCCGAGUAGUC